GACGUAGGGGGCGAGCGUUGUCCGGAAUUACUGGGCGUAAAGAGCACGUAGGCGGGACCUUAAGUCAGGUGUGAAAGACCGGGGCCUAACCCCGGGGUUGCACUUGAAACUGGGGUUCUUGAGGGCAGGAGAGGAAAGCAGAAUUCCUGGUGUAGCGGUGAAAUGCGUAGAAAUCAGGAGGAAUACCAGUGGCGAAGGCGGCUUUCUGGACUGACCCUGACGCUGAGGUGCGAAAGCGUGGGUAGCAAACAGGAUUAGAUACCCUGGUAGUCCACGCUGUAAACGAUGGAUACUAGGUGUGGGAGGUAUCGACCCCUUCCGUGCCGGAGCUAACGCAAUAAGUAUCCCGCCUGGGGAGUACGGUCGCAAGGCUGAA
rnacentral:rRNA from 1 species